UCGCACUGUUCGUAACCUGUUGACAGCAUUUUCUGCUAAUGGGUUCCAUUCCAGUGCUACAACAAAACUCAGGAUGAGAAAAAGCCAGUCUAUUCUGCCUGUCUUUCAUCUCUAUUUUGGGUGACACUC
ensembl:snoRNA